rnacentral:lncRNA from 1 species
GCACAGCAACAGAGAAAAAUCCACUAAGAAAAAAAUCAGGAGAUUACAAGAAACAGUCUCAAACUCAUAACCCUUAUCCCACGUACACCUAAAUCACUCUCUCUAAAUCUAGGUGAUAAUUAUUCUUUAACCCAUAGGGUCCUUUUAUAGUAUCAAAUACAAUAACCUUAUCCUAAUAUAAUUAGGAAUCUUAUCCUAAUAGAAU